rnacentral:rRNA from 1 species
UACAUGCAGUCGUACGCUUCUUUUUCCACCGGAGCUUGCUCCACCGGAAAAAGAGGAGUGGCGAACGGGUGAGUAACACGUGGGUAACCUGCCCAUCAGAAGGGGAUAACACUUGGAAACAGGUGCUAAUACCGUAUAACAAUCGAAACCGCAUGGUUUUGAUUUGAAAGGCGCUUUCGGGUGUCGCUGAUGGAUGGACCCGCGGUGCAUUAGCUAGUUGGUGAGGUAACGGCUCACCAAGGCCACGAUGCAUAGCCGACCUGAGAGGGUGAUCGGCCACAUUGGGACUGAGACACGGCCCAAACUCCUACGGGAGGCAGCAGUAGGGAAUCUUCGGCAAUGGACGAAAGUCUGACCGAGCAACGCCGCGUGAGUGAAGAAGGUUUUCGGAUCGUAAAACUCUGUUGUUAGAGAAGAAUAAGGAUGAGAGUAACUGUUCAUCCCUUGACGGUAUCUAACCAGAAAGCCACGGCUAACUACGUGCCAGCAGCCGCGGUAAUACGUAGGUGGCAAGCGUUGUCCGGAUUUAUUGGGCGUAAAGCGAGCGCAGGCGGUUUCUUAAGUCUGAUGUGAAAGCCCCCGGCUCAACCGGGGAGGGUCAUUGGAAACUGGGAGACUUGAGUGCAGAAGAGGAGAGUGGAAUUCCAUGUGUAGCGGUGAAAUGCGUAGAUAUAUGGAGGAACACCAGUGGCGAAGGCGGCUCUCUGGUCUGUAACUGACGCUGAGGCUCGAAAGCGUGGGGAGCAAACAGGAUUAGAUACCCUGGUAGUCCACGCCGUAAACGAUGAGUGCUAAGUGUUGGAGGGUUUCCGCCCUUCAGUGCUGCAGCUAACGCAUUAAGCACUCCGCCUGGGGAGUACGACCGCAGGGUUGAAACUCAAAGGAAUUGACGGGGGCCCGCACAAGCGGUGGAGCAUGGGGGUUUAAUUCCAAGCAACGCGAAGAACCUUACCAGGGCUUG